CACCAGGAAAAAUGUGAGACGUGAGACAUCUGUGAGGCACUGUUAGGUAUGCUGCUGCUCGAUAAGCAUGCAGCAUAAAUGCGCUUCUUCUUCUUUUGUUUGUUUUUGCUGUCUGUUGCGUUGACAGUUAUGCAAACGAAGCAGUUUGCAUGGAAAGUGAAACCGCCGUGAAAACAGUUCGGUCGUCCGCCGCGCAUAUUUCGGUAGUUUUUGUUUAUUUCGUGCAUUAUUUGAAGUUGUAAUUUUAGUGAACACGGUAUUACAAAUAGUUCAUACACCCGGGCCCUUAUAUCGUGAUACCGACGGUUCUGGCAAUUGUUAUUAGUGAAGUGUUGGGUGAAGAAAAAUGUUUAUAAUUUAUUGUGAGUUGGGGAAAUUACUAGUGCACUGGGUGUGAAAAAAUUAGUACAUAUAAGUUAAAAUUCACGAGUAAAAAGUAAUAAAAAAAAAGUGCACUGGGUUAAUCCAGAUCUGCACACUGCUUCGGAGUGUAACACCGGCAAAAGUGUCAACAUUCUGCCUCCGUGGGGAAAGGAGCCUGCCACUGCCAAAGUUAAAUCACCGGUAUACCUCCCAAGUAUGCUCCCGCAGUGUCCGAAGAGCUGAGGCACGCCCUGGGUCCACCGAUACUCUGGAUCUGACCAACUCCAAUCCGCAGACGAGGAUACACAACUCGGAGUUCCAUCAGCUGCAGAAACUGGGCAGUUCUGUAACAAGGUCCCGAAGCUACAUUCCAAGCGACUCAAGUGGGAGAGCAUGGCAGUUCCGACGGGUGGGUCGAUGGCGGAGCUGGCGGCGGCCGGGGCAAUCAACCCGGUGCUGGUACGGUAGGUGCCAAUGGAAAUAGCAACGGUCGUCGUCAACGAAGCAAAUAACAAGUAAAACGAUUUUCAGAAAAUCACUACUUUCAACGUUUUGAAGACAAGGUGUAAAUAGUGCGCCGGUCUAAGCGAGAUUUACUCAUCUUAUUCAUUGAAAAAAUCCAUGUAAUACUACAGCAGCUGCAGCAUCCCAUUCAUUUUUGGGAAAAAUCGAAAUUGUUUGGAGAAAGGAGGAGUUCUUUUAGCAGGUGAGUUUUAUUAUCUUCCCACUAUUCAUUUCAUACUCUUAACAAGAUUGUUUCUCUUGCAGACUUUGGUCAAAAUCAUUAUCAUUAAUUUGAGAGGAGGAUUCCAUAAAAACUGUGCUGAAUGUAGAAAUGUUCAUUUUUAUUGUACCAACAAGUUUGAGCUCUGAUAACGUAACAUGAACAAUACUUAAGAUCUUUUUGUCCGAGCGAGUUCCUGCGAUGGAGAUCUCGAUGAAGGCAUAGGAAGAGGUGCGAACAUUUGAACAUGGGGUGACCGUGGAGGCACGUUAACUAUAUUUUUGUUCAUAAUUAGGAUUAAUUAUGAAAUAAUUUUUGACGAAAAUAAUAGAGCUGAAUACAGCAAUAAUGAAUUGUGUACCUUUUGCAUCCAUUUUAAACAGUUGGUGUACUGAGGCUCAGUCAAAUCGACUACCGAAACUACCGAAAUAGUCCUGAUGUUUUUUUUUUCGUCAAAAAAGUACCGAAUAGGCAAUUCAGGAUUGAGUGUGUACACUAUUCGGUGGCAAAGUUACACUUUCGAAAAUAACGUUCCAUGUAAAAUGUUGAUUUAUCGAUUUUGUAAAAUAAUAAUAUUUAAUUAUACACUGACUUAUUCACUU